rnacentral:tRNA from 1 species
GUAUCUGUAGCUCAGUUGGAUAGAGCAACGGCCUUCUAAGCCGUGGGUCGGGGGUUCAAAUCCCUCCAGAUACA